ensembl:lncRNA
CCUUUAGACUGAUUUAAAGUACAGUUUUUUAAUUUAAGAUGUAUUUUAUUUCUCUGAAAUAAGACUUGGCAUUUUGUUAAACAGCCGUAAAAACUCAAUCCAAGUGUGUUUUCUAAUAUACUCUGUUACCAGAACAAAUAGAUUUUAGGUACUGUUUCUCCCUUGGGCACCGAUUGCAGCCAUGAAAUUAAAAGACGCUUACUCCUUGGAAGGAAAGUUAUGACCAACCUAGACAGCAUAUUAAAAAGCAGAGACAUUACUUUGCCAACAAAGGUCCGUCUAGUCAAGGCUAUGGUUUUUCCAGUGGUCAUGUAUGGAUGUGAGAGUUGGACUAUAAAUAAAGCUGAGCGCCAAAGAAUUGAUGCUUUUGAACUGUGGUGUUGGAGAAGACUCUUGAGAGCCCCUUAGACUGCAAGGAGAUCCAACCAGUCCAUCCUAAAGGAGAUCAGUCCUGGGUGUUCAGUGGAAGGACUGAUGUUGAAGCUGAAACUCCAAUACUUUGGCCACCUGAUGCGAAGAACUGACUCAUUUGAAAAGACCCUGAUGCUGGGAAAGAUUGAGGGCAGGAGGAGAAGGGGACGACAGAGGAUGAGAUAGUUGGAUGGCAUCACCAACUCAAUGGACAUGAGUUUGGGUGGACUCUGGAAGUUGGUGAUGGACAGGGAGGCCUGGUGUGCUGAGGUUCAUGGGGUCACAAAGAGUUGGACAUGAUUGAGCAACUGAACUGGACUGAACUGAACUGAACAUAUGGUAGUUCUCUUUGUUAAGAAAAUAGUUUAAAACAAUGCUUCACAAAAGCUAUGCAAAAAAAAAUUUUGAGCUCUUAAAAUGUAUUUCACAGAAUGAUCAGUGUAGGGCUUCAACUGUCAAUAAUUAGAUGUUUUCCCUGUUUCAGUCUAGUGAUAUAAGACAUAAGUUUCCACUCCAGAACAAACACCUGUCAUGGUUGCCUUGUCCCAUAGCGAAUGAGGAGCUCAGUGUCAUUCUUAAUGCCUCUGUCAUGGUUUUCUGUCAUAAGCCAGUAGUGACAUGAAGGAGUUGCUGAGCCAAAUUUCUAAUUAUUCUUCCAAGGGAAACAGAUCAUUAUAAAUUAUGCCUAAACCAAAAUUGAUUUUUUCUUGGCUGAUACUCUGUAGUUCUCAAGUGGAAAAUACAAAAUAACUAGCUUAACAAAACACCUCAAUUUAUUCAGUUACCUUUUGGGUACAUUUUGUAGCUAAUUCAUUCUACUUAUUGGGAGCUGCUGCUGCUGCUAAGUCGCUUCAGUUGUGUCUGACUCUGUGCGACCCCAUAGACAGCAGCCCACCAGGCUCCCCCGUCCCUGGGAUUCUCCAGGUAAGAACACUGGAGUGGGUUGCCAUUUCCUUCUCCAAUGCCUGAAAGUGAAAAGUGAAAGUGAAGUCGCUCAGUCAUGUCCGGCUCUUAGCGACUCCAUGGACUGCAGCCCACCAGCCUCCUCCGUCCAUGGGAUUUGCCAGGCAAGAGUACUGGAGUGGGGUGCCAUUGCCUUCUCCGUAUUGGGAGCUAGUGUCACUCAAAACUAAUAAUACCAUGGGAAAAUCUUUUACCAUUAAUAUUUUUGAUAUUUAUAUUCUCUGCCACAUUAUCUGGUACCAAACACUGUUAUUUAUGUUGUUUUUAGCCUAAUUCAGUAUAAUCAAGUAGACACAUAAUGGAUGCUUAGAAAAUAUUUACUGUUCUGAACACAAAAUAGUCCUUGCCCACAAGACAGAAUAUUCUAAGUGCUCUACUAAAUAAGUACAAACAAAAUACAAAAGGGGUUCUUAGUCAUCAUUAGGGGAGGCAACUUCUAAAAUAAAUUGAAUUUUUUCCAUGUAUCGGAUUAACAAAGAUGUAAAAAGAUUAUAAUAUCCAGUGUUAGAAAAUGGGUAAAUAAGAACGUGAAUGCACAUGGAUACAAACACUUUGGAUGACAACUUGCCUGUAUUUACAUUUUUUUAAUGCACAUUCCUCUUGUUAGAGCAAUUCUACUUGUAGGAAUGUAUCCUGGGGUUACUGUUGGUUUGCAAACUCCCCUCAUACAUGGAGGGCAAGGAGAGACUGCAAAAAGAGGCAGACCACUCCAGAUUGGGAGGUGGCUGGUUUAAUAAACAAGGGAACUUACACAGGAGUAGAUCUCUACACCUGCCCUCCAGAACCUUCAAAGUUUAUAGAGAGGCCUUAAUGGGCUUCCAUCACACACGUCAUUCAGACAAUCUCAACAAUGCUUUAUUCUUUCAAGGCUAUGUUCUUGGAACAGCUCCCAGUGUAGGAAAGAUGGGCAGAAUAUGCAUUCCAAGAAUGAGGGAGUGUGAAGUCUCAGCCACUGGACCACCAGGGAAGCCUCCAAAAUUCUUUUCGGUGAUAUACAUUCUUUUAAAAGUGAAGAGUAACCU